AUUGAACGCUGGCGGCAGGCCUAACACAUGCAAGUCGAGCGGAUGAGGGAAGCUUGCUUCCCGAUUUAGCGGCGGACGGGCGAGUAAUGCCUAGGAAUCUGCCUAUUAGUGGGGGAUAACGUUCCGAAAGGAACGCUAAUAUCGCAUACGUCCUACGGGAGAAAGGGGGGGAUCUUCGGACCUCACGCUAAUAGAUGAGACUCGGUCGGAUUAGCUAGUGGGUGAGGUAACGGCUCACCAAGGCGACGAUCCGUAGCUGGUCGGAGAGGAUGAUCAGCCACACUGGAACUGAGACACGGUCCAGACUCCUACGGGAGGCAGCAGUGGGGAAUAUUGGACAAUGGGCGAAAGCCUGAUCCAGCCAUGCCGCGUGUGUGAAGAAGGUCUUCGGAUUGUAAAGCACUUUAAGUUGGGAGGAAGGGUUGUAAGCUAAUAUCUUGCAGCUUUGACGUUACCAACAGAAUAAGCACCGGCUAACUCUGUGCCAGCCGCCGCGGUAAUAC
rnacentral:rRNA from 1 species